GCCGGGUGGCCGGUGGGGGCCGGCGGGACCCGAGCGAAGGCCCCGGCGUCCAGGGAAAGUGCGGGAGGCUCAGCCUGUAGUGUCUCUGUGGCCGUCUUCCCUCCCGAGUGUGUCCGUGUGGGGCCCCACCCCCUCAGCCUCAGUUCCCCUUCUGAACAACGAGCGGGCAGCGAAUGACCUCUUUUGGGUCCAGGCGGGGCCCCUGAACCAAUCUCGGUUCGUGCACCCUGACGUUCCUCUCUGGGCCUCAGCCUCUCCAUCUGCCAAGUGGGUUAAUGGCAACUCGACUAACCUUGGUGGCCAGUCUGGGUUCAACGGUCUAAAAAAUGUGUAAACAGUCCCUGCUGGAGAGAUGGGGGUCACUGUGCAAUCCGCGCCCCUCUGCCCACCUCACCCCGCAUGUUCGCGGGCUUCCUGGUUGGUGCUUCGAGCAGCCGGCGACAGGUGUCCCCCCGCCACACACACUGCUCUCCGCUGUCCCAUGAAGACCCCUCGGGGCAGUGACCCGAGGACUCUGUACCUUCCACACGGCUGUGACUCCCCUGGUGGCCUCCUGCUGGGAAAAUGGAUUGCUUGCAGCGGGAAGAUGCCUCGUCGCCCGCCGAGGGGGACGCCCGCACUGUUCUCAGCAGCUUUGUGUCUGUGUCCUCGUCAAAAGACAGGGUCUCCGGGGAGGUUGCUCAGUCUCUCGUGCAAACCAGUGAGGGUCUUUCUACGUGGCACACAUUAGCCUCCUGUGACUCAAGUGGCAAAGAGUCUAUCACCAGUUUCUCGUGUGUCUUUUGACCUUGCUGUACAAUAUAUUCUGCGCACAAA